AAAUAGGAUCACUCUUAAUUGAUUUUAAUAUUUGGAAGGAAAAACUAUGUGCAUUAUUGGAGAUGACUUUUUUUGAAAGCUCAAGGCCUAUUUUCAAUUACAAUAAAACAAAAAAGAAUUAACUAAUCGGAAAAAAAGAAAAGAAAAGCAUAACUCACCUCUAUAAAUUCAUAGGAAUAUAUUUCUAGUUAGAUAUCACCAAGCAAGCUGAAGGUAAGAAAAGUAAAAAUAAAUAAAUAAUGGAGAGAGGUUCAAGUGCUAAGUUGGCUUUCUUGCUUUUUCUUUUUCUUGCUGCAUCUUUGAUUGCAUGUUCAAGUGGGGAAAAGCAGGAUUUGAAAGAAAUGGCAAUAUUAGGAAGGAAGGUGAAUGGAGUAUGUGCUUGUGGGCCGUUUGCUGGGAAAUGUGGCGAUGGCUGUGGUGAUCAAUGUAUUCCCGUAACUUUAUGGGUGGGAAUUUGUGUUUGAUACACCCUAUACCUAAAUAAAUAUAGAUGCUUGGAUUUAUUCCUUGUAUCUUGAGUAUUAAAAAAAAUAUAUGUACUAUUUCAAAUCUCUAUUCUUGGUGUGUUUAACAUCAUAUGUUUGAUGUAUAUGUAACUCUAAAUAAAUUGUGCUUCAAAAUUGAAUGGUGUUGGGCUCGGAUUA